rnacentral:misc_RNA from 1 species
GGUAGUCUCUCAAUCUGAUUAGUAUUUUUCCAUGAUAUCAAUUUAUGUGGCUUGGGUAUUUGUGCUACAUUUGAGUUACAUGAAUUGGAUUUACUCUGAAACUGAGAUAUUUUCUGCUUACUGAAUCUUUGAUGUGCACGAUAAAUCAAUUCUUUUUUAUUGUGACUAGUUUCUCUGACUUAUACUUCUUCUGGUUCUUCUUUCUAAAUGUAAAAUAUAUUGGGGCUAAUGUGUUUUAACUUAUGGACUUGAAAGAUGAAAUGAAGUUGGUUGUUUAACAUUUUUCUCUGAUCCUACUAUAUUUUAUAGUUUUGAUGUACCUCAUUAAUGCGACAUUAUUUUCUUAAUUAGCUUGAAUUUGGGGUACAGAAGAGGAAAAAAAAGCUAGGUUGCUUGUGUCUUUUCACUUGUAUAAUAAUACCUUGUUGUAAUACAUUAUAUGAAGUCCCAACUUAAAUAAGUAUUUCAGGACAUUUUGUGUUGGAAGCAUUGCAUUGAAUAAAGGC